UGAACUCUUUUGUUGGCUCUAUCAAUGGAAGUAUCCGAUCGCAAAAUGUUCUCAAUUUCUCUUUUUGAUAUUAGUUGAUUUGUGCACGAGUUCUGUGGUACUUGAUGUUUUUGUUGGCUUAUCUUUUGUUGUGCAGUUCUUGAGGUUGGAGAUGGGGUGUUUGAGGUUCUUUCUACCUCUGGUGAUACGCAUUUAGGAGGAGAUGACUUUGACAAGGUGCCAUUCCUAGCCACUGCUGGGUCAAGAACCCGUGGCGAUCUAUAAUCAUGGGUACCGAUUCAUCUUGACAAAAGGGUUCCCACUGAUGCUGGUCUUGGCGGUGGAAGCAGCUAUGCUGCAACUGCUCUAUGGGCA